UUGGAGGGCAAGUCUGGUGCCAGCAGCCGCGGUAAUUCCAGCUCCAAUAGCGUAUAUUAAAGUUGUUGCAGUUAAAAAGCUCGUAGUUGAACUUCGGGGUUCACCCAUUGGUCAGGCUUAACUGUCUGUACCGGUGAGAUGAAUCUCUACCUUCUGAGGAACUUUCAUGCCAUUUAGUUGGUGUGAUGGGAAAUCAGGACUGUUACUUUGAAAAAAUUAGAGUGUUUAAAGCAGGCUAUCGCCUGAAUACAUUAGCGUGGAAUAAUGAAAUAGGACGGACUGGUUCUAUUUUGUUGGUUUCUAGGAUCACCGUAAUGAUUAAUAGGGAUAGUUGGGGGCAUUAGUAUUCAAUUGUCAGAGGUGUAAUUCUUGGAUUUAUUGAAGACUAACUACUGCGAAAGCAUUUGCCAAGGAUGUUUUCAUUAAUCAAGAACGAAAGUUAGGGGAUCGAAGACGAUCAGAUACCGUCGUAGUCUUAACCAUAAACUAUGCCGACUAGGGAUCGGACGAAGUUAAUUUUAUAAUGACGCGUUCGGCGCCUUACGGAAAC
rnacentral:rRNA from 1 species